rnacentral:lncRNA from 1 species
CUGUCUGUGAGGAAGACUGAGAAGGAUAUAGAGGGUACCAGUCCCACCUCCUCUAGCAGUUACUUCUAGGAAUCAAGUUGAGAGAGUCCUGUGCAGUUUCUUGGAUUCCAUCUUGUUGCCUGAAAUAAGCUCUUAAGAUCUCUUCAUUCACAUUUCUGCCUACUACCUUCAACAUGCUUCACGAGAGAAUUCCUUCUGACCUCAGCAUUGAAGGAGAUUUUCUGGACCCAGUUGAAUCACCGGAAGCACUGAUUUUACUGAUUCCUGUGGAUGACUUGGAAGAUGAUGUGGAAGAAAUAUUCGAAAUAUAUGAAGAGGAGGAGGGAGAAGUGGGAGAGGAAGAGCUGGUGGUGGAGGAGAUACUGGUGGAGGAGGAAGAGGUAGAGGAGGAAGAAAUAGAGCUGGUAAUAGGAAAAUACAUUGCUGAGAAUGAGGAGUAGAAAUGAGAAAUAAGAAAAAGAGGAGAAAGAGGAAGCAGAGGAGGAGGAGGAAGAGGAGGGAAAAAUGAUUCAGUGAAAUGUACCUUUACUUGCCAAGCUCAUGCAAGAAAACAAAAAAAAAAAAGUUAACAAAUCUUAAUAAAGUUUGUUUACUGGUUCAUUUACUU